rnacentral:rRNA from 15 species
ACCAGCGGAGGGAUCAUU